CGGGGAGUAGCGCAGUUUGGCUAGCGCGCUGCGUUCGGGACGCAGAGGUCAUGGGUUCAAGUCCCAUCUCCCCGACCA
rnacentral:tRNA from 1 species